rnacentral:misc_RNA from 1 species
UCAACCCUCAAGCCUGGCUUGUUGUUGGACCCGGGACCCUUGUCAGGGUAAACCGGUCUCAAAGACAAUGACGGCGUCCGUCAGACCCUCGGUACAAGGAGCUUUCUGAGCACGUACCGCAGCGGGCUGGCGGACCCGGUCCUCUUUAAAUUUCUAA